rnacentral:rRNA from 1 species
UACGAAGGGUGCUAGCGUUGUUCGGAAUCACUGGGCGUAAAGCGCGCGCAGGCGGCUUUCCAAGUCAGAGGUGAAAUGCCGGGGCUCAACCCUGGAACUGCCUUUGAAACUAGAGAGCUAGAGUAUUGGAGGGGAGUGCGGAAUUCCUAAUGUAGCGGUGAAAUGCGUAGAUAUUAGGAGGAACACCGGUGGCGAAGGCGGCAUCCUGGACCGGUAUUGACGCUGAGGCGCGAAAGCCAGGGGAGCAAACGGG